ACAGUCGAGCGGGUAGCACAGAGAGCUUGCUCUCGGGUGACGAGCGGCGGACGGGUGAGUAAUGUCUGGGAAACUGCCUGAUGGAGGGGGAUAACUACUGGAAACGGUAGCUAAUACCGCAUAACGUCGCAAGACCAAAGUGGGGGACCUUCGGGCCUCAUGCCAUCAGAUGUGCCCAGAUGGGAUUAGCUAGUAGGUGGGGUAACGGCUCACCUAGGCGACGAUCCCUAGCUGGUCUGAGAGGAUGACCAGCCACACUGGAACUGAGACACGGUCCAGACUCCUACGGGAGGCAGCAGUGGGGAAUAUUGCACAAUGGGCGCAAGCCUGAUGCAGCCAUGCCGCGUGUGUGAAGAAGGCCUUCGGGUUGUAAAGCACUUUCAGCGGGGAGGAAGGCGAUAAGGUUAAUAACCUUGUCGAUUGACGUUACCCGCAGAAGAAGCACCGGCUAACUCCGUGCCAGCAGCCGCGGUAAUACGGAGGGUGCAAGCGUUAAUCGGAAUUACUGGGCGUAAAGCGCACGCAGGCGGUCUGUCAAGUCGGAUGUGAAAUCCCCGGGCUCAACCUGGGAACUGCAUUCGAAACUGGCAGGCUAGAGUCUUGUAGAGGGGGGUAGAAUUCCAGGUGUAGCGGUGAAAUGCGUAGAGAUCUGGAGGAAUACCGGUGGCGAAGGCGGCCCCCUGGACAAAGACUGACGCUCAGGUGCGAAAGCGUGGGGAGCAAACCGGAUUAGAUACCCGGGUAGUCCACGCCGUAAACGAUGUCGAUUUGGAGGUUGUGCCCUUGAGGCGUGGCUUCCGGAGCUAACGCGUUAAAUCGACCGCCUGGGGAGUACGGCCGCAGGUU
rnacentral:rRNA from 1 species